GACGAACGCUGGCGGCGUGCUUAGCACAUGCAAGUCGAACGGUAAGGCCCUUCGGGGUACACGAGUGGCGAACGGGUGAGUAACACGUGGGUGAUCUGCCCUGCACUUCGGGAUAAGCCUGGGAAACUGGGUCUAAUACCGGAUAGGACCACUGCCUGCAUGGGUGGUGGUGGAAAGCUUUUGCGGUGUGGGAUGGGCCCGCGGCCUAUCAGCUUGUUGGUGGGGUGAUGGCCUACCAAGGCGACGACGGGUAGCCGGCCUGAGAGGGUGACCGGCCACACUGGGACUGAGAUACGGCCCAGACUCCUACGGGAGGCAGCAGUGGGGAAUAUUGCACAAUGGGCGCAAGCCUGAUGCAGCGACGCCGCGUGAGGGAUGACGGCCUUUGGGUUGUAAACCUCUUUCAGCACCGACGAAGCGCAAGUGACGGUAGGUGCAGAAGAAGGACCGGCCAACUACGUGCCAGCCGCCGCGGUAA
rnacentral:rRNA from 1 species